rnacentral:lncRNA from 1 species
AGGAGGAGCUGGCAUUCCCUGGGAGCUCCCAGCCAAUAUGGAGCCUCCAAACGAGGCUGCAGGAAGAGCCUGCUGCGGGCUAGCGACGGAGGGCUCGGAGAGGUCAGCCGCACGUCUGCCAGGACUGCCCUGCCCUAGAUUAAAGAUGUCUUCUCUUAUGUAACACUUUCUGAAAACACCGCUUCCCAGGCAAACCUCAGCUGUGAUCCGAACAGGCUCCUAUUGACUGAGAGCAAAGCCUGGGAUGACUAAGGUGCAUUGUAAUAAUGGGCCUCCAUGCCGGAGGAUUAGCAUGUAACAUUCAGAAAUCAUUACACAACCCUCACAUAGCGAGCCUUCAAUCAGCCAGGGCAGUUGGGUCAACGAAUGCCAUUCUUCUGCAAUCAUGUCCACAAAUGCCAAAAUACACACGCUUACUCCCGACUUUUUUUUAAAGGAAGAAAAAUAAAUAAGAUCCCGAGUAUUUCCUACAGGGAAAUAAGAAGAUCAGGUUGCAGUCAAGCAGGAGGCUAUGCACACUCCUUGAGCAGAGUCCCUAAAACUUGUAGGGCUGUUGGGAGUAAUUCGCUCUGCCGGCCACAGAGUAACACCAGAACACGCAGAAAUGGGUUGCCACAUCACUAAAGAAGAACGUGCAGACUCAGCUCGAGGGACAUUUUGUACCCACCGAAGUCUAGCCUGCUCACCCCAGUUACUCACCCCAACCUGCUACAGAAAAUAUUUUGCAUGUAAUUUGCAUUUAUCCAUCUGAUACGAAUAAAAGCAAUUCCAGGGCAACCA